UCGAGAAUCUUCGGCAAUGAGCGCAAGCUUGACCGAGCGACGCCGCGUGCGGGAUGAAGGCCUUCGGGUUGUAAACCGCUUUGGUCCGAAAGAAAGGGUAAAACUUGAUCGAUCGGAGAAACAAGGACGGGCUAAGUUCGUGCCAGCAGCCGCGGUAAGACGAACCGUCCAAACGUUAUUCGGAAUCACUGGGCUUAAAGGGCGCGUAGGCGGCCGAGCGGGUCGUGGGUGAAAUCCCCCAGCUUAACUGGGGAACUGCUUACGAUACCACUGCGGCUCGAGGAAGGAAGGGGCAAUUGGAACUGUCGGUGGAGCGGUGAAAUGCGUUGAUAUCGACAGGAACGCCUGUGGCGAAAGCGAAUUGCUGGUCCUUUUCUGACGCUGAGGCGCGAAAGCCAGGGGAGCAAACGGG
rnacentral:rRNA from 1 species